UCUUACACAUCCACCACAGAAGCAGUAAGCAGGAAAUGUGCAAAAGAAUGAAAGCAGUAUCACAUCUGCUUUAGAGAAGUAACAUGAAUAAGUACAACUUUUUGUUGUCCUUCUUUCUGUUGCUGCUGAGUGGAGUAUCUGACUUCCAUGAGUCCGUAACUACAAUGGCAGAUGAACAUUCUGGUGAUGGUAUGUCAUUGACUGUGCCCACCACAGAAGGAUCUAUUAGUUCUGUUUUAUUUUCAAUUUCAACUAAUAAAUCAGAAGAGCAAAAUGCCACAACACCAACUGAAACUGAGAAUACUGUAAUAGAAAGUACUUCUCCCACAGAAAUGAAUGGGAAUGAGCCUAUUUUACAUACUGCUGUGAUAAUUGGAAUUGCUGUAGCGCUGUUCCUAGUCCUCUUGAUUAUCCUGGUCAUCUUUAUUGUAAGACGUCGCAAACAGAAACAAAGCCAAGAAGAUGAGCUAGGAAGUGAAAAUGGUAAAAGGUCAAUUUCACCAUCUCAGCAAGUUCUAUCAUCUUCACCAACUAUUUCUCCACUUCCUAUUUUUGAGGAAGAUACGCCUUCUGUAAUGGAAAUUGAGAUGGAAGAACUGGAUAAAUGGAUGAACAGCUUGAAAAAAAAUGGCAAAAGCAAAAUGGUGGAGAGGAGAGCCGUUUAUAUAUACUGCGCAGAGAAUGCAUUGCGAUUACUGAAACAAAGGCUACUAUGGCUUCUGAGACAUUUUUAAUAAAACAUAACUUUUUUUAAAAAAAAGUGUUAAACAUUGCUAUUCCAACUGAAUUGCUGGCUCCCCAGUUCUCAAGACUAAUAGUUUGUUGUCUUUUCACAGCAGAAAGUGAUUAUUUGCCUGCUGUAAAAGAAGAGAAGGAUUGUAACACCAACCCAAGCAGACGUGAAGUAUCUCCCCUGCCUUUGGACUAUGACAUCCUCUGAAUAAGAAAGGACCUAUCAUGAUUGCAAAUGGCAAAUGCAAUCUAUAAAUAUAAGAAUAUCCAUGUUACCUAUAGUUUAUAGGUGCUUUAUCAUACAGAUGUAAAUUCUUAUGUGAAUUCAUGUAUUUAACUCAGUUUUGUAUUUAUAAUGUAACACAGUUAAGGAACACUACAAAAUACAGUGAAUCAGAAAUUAGAAAAAAGAUACGUAUGUGGAAUAGACUUGAUUUUAUUCCUGAGAUCCACUUUCAUGUUACUGCUGGCCAUCUAACCCAAUAUAAAAGCCUGACUACAUUCUCUAGUUCACUUUUUCCCCCGUGCCUGAAUAUGAAUUUGUGUUCAUCUAAUAUAGAUUGACUAUGUUGAAUGGGAAUUUUGGUAGCUGCAACCCUAUAUAGCCAAAGGAUAACGAAGUGGGGAAACGCUGACUUUCAAGAAGAGUGAAUCCUUAUAUUCAAGAUAGAUAGCAUGCCUAUCAGGUCAAUCAAAUAUUUAUUCUCCUACUCAGGGUAUAACAAUAUUGAAUUAAGUAGACUAUAUCCUUGAACAGACAUAGGGUAGAUUAAUUGUAUAGUUUAUAUAAUUAACUUAAUCUUUCCCCAAAUUCAGUGGUGGAACUCAAAUAAUUUAACAACCGGCUCUCUGCCCUAAUGAUUUCUUCCAACAACCAGUUCACCAAACUGCUCAGAAAGGUAACAACCGGUUCUCCUGAAGUGGUGCGAACCGGCUGAAUCCCACCACUGUCCUGGAUUAAAAAAGUGAGAUUUCACACAAGUUAUAUUUUGCUCUUACUUAGUUGUGAUGUUGAGGCUCUGAAUCUGAAUUGUCUAUCACUGCCAAGGAAGAGUUUCUUAUUUAUCACAACACAUUUCCCCUCCUCAGAAUGACAUUGCUCAAAAUGCAGUAGCAAACUUACUAUUAAUCCUGCAGGAAACAAUUCAGAAAUCCCUGAAGAGAUUGCUAAAAGGUUACUGGCACUAGGACUAGAAAACUUUUGCAAAAUCAAGGGCAGCAUUCAGCCUUUGGAUUAUGUGCCAAUAGGCAUAUUUUAAAAAGUCCUGUGUCCAAGACAAAGGACUAGAUCAAGGUUAGGCCAAAAAUUAAAUUAAAUUAAAUUAAAAUUUAAUUAUGAAUAAAAUGAUUACUUCCAAUGCAUUUAAUCAUUUUCUUUUCUAUCAUAUUGCAAGUGGGAAACAAUUUUUGGAAGAGCUCUGCACUUCUACAUCAGAGCUAUUAGUAGUCUUAUGUAGGCUAUGACCAAUAAUUUCAAAAGAGGAAAAGCAUAAUGAAACUCCUGUUUACUGGUUAAAAAGGCCCAGUUGAUGGAAUAAUGGAUUUGAACCACUAAUAUCUAGAUUAAUAUUUUCAGCCAUGACAUCUUAUUCACUGUAUGGCCUUGGAUAAUCAAAAUAAACCAUGCCCAUGCUAUAGAGUUGUACCAAGGGAAAUGUUUCAUUUUAUUUUAGUUGCCUUGAACUUGGGAAGGAAGAUAUAUAGUAAAUAAUUAUAAGCAGAAUGAGGAAAAAUGUUUAUGUAUGCAAGUCCAUAUAUAAUCUGUUUUAUGUCAUUCUCACACAAGAUUCUACAUGGCUUACAAUUAUAAAAGUGUGAAAACAAUAAUUAAUUCAAAAUACACAUUGAAAUCUGAUCAUUGCUGCUAGCCAAAGACCUUGUGGAAAAAUACAUUUUUAAAUAGACUUUCUAAAUAUUAGCAGAGUGGGAAUCAUUUUGACCAUAUGAAACAAACUAUUGUAAUGAAUGAAUGAAGGGACAGCUCCUAACUAGACUAUCCUCCAUGCCUUGGACUCAUGAUCUCUCAGGUUGGGUGGCAGAUUCAAUAUAGAGUGGUACCUUGGUACUCAUCAUUAAUUGGUUCUGGGAGGCUCAACGUAUACCAAAAACAAUGAGUACCAAAUAAUUUUUUUCUCAUAAGGAAUAAUGUAGUGAGUCAGAAGGCAGCUGACACCGACAAGUUCUAGCUUGUGAGUUGAGAACCAAACGUAUUUGAGUCCUGGGACAAAAUUUUUGCAUCAAAAUAUGUUGAGUACCAUAUUUGAUUUUCAAAGCGGUUGAAUAUCAAGGUACCACUGUACUGCAAAUCAUUUCAAAAAUAAUGACUCAAGCUAUAAAAGAUUUAAUAAUUAACAACUACAGCAUAGACAAUGCUUUUAAAUAAAUUGGCACGAAUCAGCGGGUGGAUGGCCACCUUCUGUGCCAAUUGUAGACUCCAGGUCAUCUUUAAGAGCAGCCUUAUGAAGAGUAAACUAUAAUAGUCAAUUAAGAGAUGACAACAGCCACAGUUUACAGAGUCUGUGAACUAUGUCUUUCACAGAAAUCCCAAGACAGCAAGGUAUUACUGAAUUGUUUGUCAGCUAUUAAACUAUACCAUUGAUUUCCUCCCCAAUUCUUACCUACAGUACAUAUAUACGUAUUUGUUAUAUACACAAAUGACUCAACAAUAUCUUCAGCAAGAUAAAUGAAGCAUCCUUAACAACCAUUUGGUAACAUUUGUUGAAAUCAUGUAGUAUAUUCAGUUAUUAUUAUUUUUUAUUUACAGCUUACAUUGUACUUUUUUUUUGAUAAAAUGUUUUAUACUGUAAUCAUACAUGUGUAAUAUAAAUAAGAAUAAAAUAUUCUUUUAUACAUA